rnacentral:rRNA from 1 species
AGUAAUGGUAGGCUCAUUUCGAGGGCUAAGCCAUGCAAGUGCAAGUACGCUUGCUAUCAAGCUUAACCGCGCGAGCCUCGAGCCUUCCUAGGACCGAGGACCAUCCGCAGUUAACGUCAGUCCAAGUCGACUGCGUACGGCUCAGUAGACUCGUCAUAAUGGACGUUGGUAGAAUCGUAUCAACGAGCUAUUUGGAUAACGGUGACAAAUUUAGCGCUAAUACACAAAUAAUGUCAUUAGUUAUCAAUAGGCAGCAUAUAAUAGCUGUUUAACUUGGCUGCAGUCUGGGAGAGCUAAACUUGUAUGAUGAGGGGGUGACCAGAGAGAGAGUUUAAAACCGGUAGUACGGGUCUCUCUUCUCUUCUCUCUUCUCUGUACAUAUAGCAAUCCCGGAGAGGGACUGUAGUUGGAUCUUGUCGUUCAUUAAGACAAGACGCCUCAACACCGGAGGCGAGCUUAUCAGGCCUGAUGCGCGCAUCAGGUUCUUGCCUAGCUGUUACGAGUAACGGGGUAUCAGGGUACGAUACCGGAGAGGGAGCCUUAAAAACGGCUACCACUACCAAGGAAGGCAGCAGGCGCGCAACUUACCCAAUACCGACACGGUGAGGUAGUAAAAAGGAGUGACAUUGCGAAGAUCCUCUCGAGAGGCUUCGUUAUUGGAUUGACAACAAUCCAAAUACAAUAAGAAGUUACUGGAGGGCAAGUCUGGUGCCAGCAGCCGCGGUAAUUCCAGCUCCAGUGGCCUACGUUAAUUUUGCUGCGGUUAAAAAGCUCGUAGUCAAGUUUGCGUUUGGUCGCGUCGGCAGUAUGAUUCUAAGGAAUCGCUCUGGCGCGCCGAACGUCAGGUCCGGAGCGUGCGAUCGAACUGUUUGCCUUGCGCAUUCAGUUUAAUUGAUCGGACAACGGACCAUAUUACUUUAAGCAAAUUAGAGUGUUCAAAGCAGGUCAGGAGUGUCCUGUAUAGAGUUGUAUGGAAUAGUAUAAAAGGAUUAAGAACCUGCCCGACUAGCUCUCGGGUGACGGCUGGACGGCUGGGGGCAUCCGUAUUGCGGCCCGAGAGGUGAAAUUCUGAGACCGUCGCAGGACGACCUACAGCGAAAGCAUUUGCCAAAAACGUCUCCUUCGAUCAAGAACGAAAGUCAGAGGCCCGAAGGCGAUUAGAUACCGCCCUAGUUCUGACCUUAAACGAUGUUAACCAGUUAUCCGCCAUAGUAUAGAAUACUUGGUGGGCAGCUUCCGGGAAACCUAGAGUGUUUCAGUUCCGGGGGUAGUAUGGUUGCAAAGCUGAAACUUAAAGGAAUUGACGGAAGGGUAUCACUAGGUGUGGAGCCUGCGGCUUAAUUUGACUCAACACGGGUAACCUCAUCAGGUCCGGACAUGAUUGCGAUGGACAGAUUAAUAGCUCUUUCUAGAUCUCAUGGAUGGUGGUGCAUGGCCGUUCUUAGUUCGUGGAUCGAUUUGUCUGGUUAAUUCCGAUAACGAGCGAGACUCUACCUUACUAACUAAGACGUACGAUAUACACGAGGUCUGUUGUUGUAUGCGUUGCUGCUCUAUAUACUUCGCUACUCCUAUACGGGGUCACACCCUUCACCGGGUGCCGUCUAGUUGUAUGUGUUGUGUAUGUGUUGGCGCGUUACGGCACGGUCCAUACUAUCGGCGCAAAUGUCUUCUUCUUAGAAGAACAAGCUAUAUAUAGUAGCACGAGAGAGAGCAAUAACAGGUCUGUGAUGCCCUUAGAUGUCCUGGGCCGCACGCGUGCGACAAUGAAAGAGUCAAUAGGUAUCCUAGGCCGAAAUGUCUGGGUAAUCCUAGCAAUCUCUUUCGUGUUGGGGAUUGGGGCUUGAAAGUGCUUCCCAUGAACGAGGAAUACCCAGUAAGCGUAGUUGAUCAAUCUACGCUGAUUGAGUCCCUGCCCUUUGUACAUACCGCCCGUCGCUACUACCGAUGAGCGGGCUAGCGAGAUCUUCGGACCGGCACCUCGAAAGAGGUCGUUACCGGAAAGUCGAUCAAACUUGCCCGUUUAGAGGAAGUAAAA